AUAAAAUGCAUCAAAGACAAAUGGACAAUAACUCAUCCACCAGUAAAAAAGGAAUCUUCAAGAAGUAUUCCAUAAGUUCAUCUUCUCCCUUCAUUAUCGAUCGAAACUCCAAGAAUGUCGAUUCAGUCCCAUGAAUGGAGACACAAUCCAAGCACUUCCCCCAAUGGACGACCUUCAAGUUCAGAAUCCAACAAGCAUGCAGAUUCGCAAGAAGCUAAUACUUUGAUUUGGUACUGAUGGUCACCCCAAGCUUUCACUAGGUGUAACUACACAAAUCUAUUUAAUUUACUUCAAGGAUUAGCUUAACUAUACCUUGCAUAACCAGAAAAGGUCUUGAAUUUUGAGGCUACUGUUAUUUGUAUUCUUUUA